ensembl:misc_RNA 7SK 7SK RNA
CGAAGUUGGCUAUGCGGGUGUCCCCUUCCUCCCAGACCUCUCCAUGUGUGUCCCUCCCAAAGCUGUGCACUCAGUUGAAGAGGACGACCAUCCCCCAUACAGAAGGAUGGUCUUUGGUCAAGGGUAUAGGAGUAGCUGUGCUCCCCUGCUAGCACCUCCAAACAAGCUCAUAGACACUACUUUUAAAAGUCAGAGUUUGGACUGACCUAAAAAGUGAAUACAAGAUAAAUACGGUAGACUUAUCUGAUGAUU